UACGGAGGGAGCUAGCGUUAUUCGGAAUUACUGGGCGUAAAGCGCACGUAGGCGGCUUUGUAAGUUAGAGGUGAAAGCCUGGAGCUCAACUACGGAAUUGCCUUUAAGACUGCAUCGCUUGAAUCCAGGAGAGGUGAGUGGAAUUCCGAGUGUAGAGGUGAAAUUCGUAGAUAUUCGGAAGAACACCAGUGGCGAAGGCGGCUCACUGGACUGGUAUUGACGCUGAGGUGCGAAAGCGUGGGGAGCAAACAGG
rnacentral:rRNA from 1 species